GGGGGCUCAGGGUGAGGAUGGAGCUCAGAGAGAGAAUGCAGCUCUAGAGAACAGGAUGAGCUCCAGUGAAAAGCAGGUGGUGGAGCUCCAGACACAGAACUCAGCCGGUCCUCAGGUGGCGUUCUCAGUCGGUCUCAGUGAUGCAGGAGUAGUCGGACCCUUCGGCACUAACAGUAUACUGAAGUACAGUAAAGUCUUCACCAAUAUCGGCCUGGCCUACAGCGCAACUA